rnacentral:rRNA from 1 species
GGAUCCAGACUUUGAUUCUGGCUCAGGAUGAACGCUAGCUACAGGCCUAACACAUGCAAGUCGAGGGGAAACGGCAGCUUAGCUUGCUAAGCUGGACGUCGACCGGCGCACGGGUGAGUAACGCGUAUCCAACCUGCCCCACGGUGAGGGAUAACCCGCGGAAACGCGGCCUAAUACCUCAUGGUCUCCGAGUUUGCCAUCAACCUUGGAGUAAAGAUUCAUUGCCGUGGGAUGGGGAUGCGUCUGAUUAGCUUGUUGGCGGGGCAACGGCCCACCAAGGCAACGAUCAGUAGGGGUUCUGAGAGGAAAGCCCCCCACAUUGGAACUGAGACACGGUCCAAACUCCUACGGGAGGCAGCAGUGAGGAAUAUUGGUCAAUGGGCGAGAGCCUGAACCAGCCAAGUAGCGUGCAGGAAGACGGCCCUAUGGGUUGUAAACUGCUUUUAUGCGGGGAUAAAGCGGGCGACGUGUCGCCCUUUGCAGGUACCGCAUGAAUAAGGACCGGCUAAUUCCGUGCCAGCAGCCGCGGUAAUACGGAAGGUCCGGGCGUUAUCCGGAUUUAUUGGGUUUAAAGGGAGCGCAGGCCGGGUAUUAAGCGUGUUGUGAAAUGUAGGCGCCCAACGUCUGCACCGCAGCGCGAACUGGUGCCCUUAAGUACGCACGACGUUGGCGGAAUUCGCCGUGUAGCGGUGAAAUGCUUAGAUAUGGCGAAGAACUCCGAUUGCGAAGGCAGCUGACGGGAGCGCUACUGACGCUCAUGCUCGAAAGCGCGGGUAUCGAACAGGAUUAGAUACCCUGGUAGUCCGCGCGGUAAACGAUGGAUGCCCGCUAUUUGCGCAUUAGCGCAAGUGGCCAAGUGAAAACGUUAAGCAUCCCACCUGGGGAGUACGCCGGCAACGGUGCAACUCA